GUCUCGGAUAGCUUAAUUGGUAGAGCUUUUAGCGCGUAACCAAACGAUCCGGGUUCGAAUCCCGGUCUGGGCU
rnacentral:tRNA from 1 species